AUGUGGUUUUGUACCACUUCAAGGGAGCCUUUCAAAUACAUGAAGGGGAAAAUUCCAAAGUCACACAACAUUUCCCCCUCUUUGAAAAUUACUUAUACUCUGCAAGGAUGUAGAUACAGAGCAAGAUCGGAUGCUAGAGCUACUGACAGUUCCCUUCUUGAUCAACCCCAGGUUCCUUCUGUCUCAAUGGAUUGUUUUUAAAGCAUGUAGA
rnacentral:lncRNA from 1 species